AACGAACGCUGGCGGCAUGCCUAACACAUGCAAGUCGAACGAGACCUUCGGGUCUAGUGGCGCACGGGUGCGUAACGCGUGGGAACCUGCCCUUAGGUUCGGAAUAACUCCCCGAAAGGGGUGCUAAUACCGGAUAAUGUCUUCGGACCAAAGAUUUAUCGCCUUUGGAUGGGCCCGCGUUGGAUUAGCUAGUUGGUAGGGUAAAAGCCUACCAAGGCGACGAUCCAUAGCUGGUCUGAGAGGAUGAUCAGCCACACUGGGACUGAGACACGGCCCAGACUCCUACGGGAGGCAGCAGUGGGGAAUAUUGGACAAUGGGCGAAAGCCUGAUCCAGCAAUGCCGCGUGGGUGGUGAAGGCCUUAGGGUUGUAAAGCUCUUUUACCCGGGAUGAUAAUGACAGUACCGGGAGAAUAAGCUCCGGCUAACUCCGUG
rnacentral:rRNA from 1 species